rnacentral:rRNA from 1 species
UUCGGGUGAGCGGCCCACGGAUGAGUAUCGCGUGGGAACGUGCCCUUCUCUACGGAAUAGUCCUGGGAAACUGGGGGUAAUACCGUAUACGCCCUUUGGGGGAAAGAUUUAUCGGAGAAGGAUCGGCCCGCGUUGGAUUAGGUAGUUGGUGGGGUAAUGGCUCACCAAGCCGACGAUCCAUAGCUGGUUUGAGAGGAUGAUCAGCCACACUGGGACUGAGACACGGCCCAGACUCCUACGGGAGGCAGCAGUGGGGAAUCUUAGACAAUGGGGGCAACCCUGAUCUAGCCAUGCCGCGUGAGUGAUGAAGGCCUUAGGGUUGUAAAGCUCUUUCAGCUGUGAAGAUAAUGACGGUAGCAGCAGAAGAAGUCCCGGCUAACUCCGUGCCAGCAGCCCGCGGUAAUACGGAGGGGACUAGCGUUGUUCGGAAUUACUGGGCGUAAAGCGCACGUAGGCGGAUCGGAAAGUUGGGGGUGAAAUCCCGGGGCUCAACCCCGGAACUGCCUUUCAAAACUAUCGGUCUGGAGUUCGAGAGAGGUGAGUGGAAUUCCGAGUGGAGAGGUGAAAUUUCGUAGAUUUUCGGAGGAAC